UCUGGUUGAUCCCGGCGGAGGUCAUUGCUAUUGGGGUCCGAUUUAGCCAUGCUAGUUGCACGAGUUCACACUCGUGGCGGAAAGCUCAGUAACACGUGGUCAAACUACCCAACAGAGAACGAUAACCUCGGGAAACUGAGGCUAAUAGUUCAUAAGAGAGUCAUGCUGGAACGCCGAUUCUCCCAAACGCUCAGGCGCUGUUGGAUGUGGCUGCGGCCGAUUAGGUAGACGGUGGGGUAACGGCCCACCGUGCCGAUAAUCGGUUCGGGUUGUGAGAGCAAGAGCCCGGAGACGGAAUCUGGGACAAGAUUCCGGGCCCUACGGGGCGCAGCAGGCGCGAAACCUUUACACUGCACGCCAGUGCGAUAAGGGAACCCCGAGUGAAAGGGCAUAUCGCCCUUUCUUUUCUGACCGUAGGGAGGUUCAGGAACAAGAGCUGGGCAAGACCGGUGCCAGCCGCCGCGGUAAUACCGGCAGCUCAAGUGAUGACCGAUUUUAUUGGGCCUAAAGCGUCCGUAGCUGGCCAUGCAAGUCCGUCGGGAAAUCCACCCGCUUAACGGGUGGGCGUCCGGCGGAAACUGCACGGCUUGGGACAGGAAGGCUCGAGGGGUACGUUCGGGGUAGGAGUGAAAUCCCGUAAUCCUGAACGGACCACCGAUGGCGAAAGCACCUCGAGAGGACUGAUCCGACAGUGAGGGACGAAAGCUGGGGUCUCGAACCGGAUUAGAUACCCGGGUAGUCCCAGCUGUAAACGAUGUUCGCUAGGUGUGUCACUCACUACGAGUGAGUGAUGUGCCGCAGGGAAGCCGCUAAGCGAACCGCCUGGGAAGUACGUCUGCAAGGAUGAAACUUAAAGGAAUUGGCGGGGGAGCACUACAACCGGAGGAGCCUGCGGUUAAUUGGACUCGACGCCGGACAUCUCACCAGCUCCGACUAUAGUGAUGACGUUCAGGUUGAUGACCUAGACACGACGCUAUAGAGAGGAGGUGCAUGGCCGCCGUCAGCUCGUACCGUGAGGNGUCCUGUUAAGUCAGGCAACGAGCGAGACCC
rnacentral:rRNA from 1 species